UACGAAGGGUGCAACCGUUGCUCGGAAUCAUUGGGCGUAAAGCGCACGUAGGCGGCGCAGUAAGUCGGACGUGAAAUCCCUCGGCUCAACCGAGGACGUGCAUCCGAAACUACUGUGCUCGAGUAUGGAAGAGGGUCGCGGAAUUCUCGGUGUAGAGGUGAAAUUCGUAGAUAUCGGGAGGAACACCAGUGGCGAAGGCGAGUCCCUGGACAACUCCUGACACUGAGGCACGAAAGCUAGGGGAGCAAACAGG
rnacentral:rRNA from 1 species